rnacentral:lncRNA from 1 species
GCUAAGUACGCCAAGUGCCUAGGAAUUGUCCUCACCCAAGAGGGCCACGCUGGAAGCAAUCUGCAAUAGAAGGCCUGCUCCUCCUCCUCUGGAGCCUGGAAUUAUCAGCUCUUGUUCUGCACAUGGGGAUUGCUAGGGGCUGGGAAAUGGCCCAAUCCGUCUCCACAAAGCCUGCUGCUCCCUGUGCCUCUGGCUUAUAAGGCACUGGCCACGAGCCACAGGGCACCCAUUGGAAGGCCAACUCUGGUACUUUCUCAGCAAUGUGGCCACAGAGUUCCUGAUUACUAUACCGAAGAGAACAAAAUUCUGGGAAGGGACCACGUGCUCUUUCUUGAAGAUACGGUGACACCAUCUCCAUCAUCCUCCAGUCCUUCCCUGGAAUGUUUUUUUUUUUCCUUUCCCACCUUGCUCUUAGUUGUUUGUGUCUUUAGAGUGAAUAUAAAGUUCCUCACUCCUCAGCUCUGAAGAGCUGGUGUGAAA